rnacentral:rRNA from 1 species
UACGUAGGGGGCAAGCGUUGUCCGGAUUUAUUGGGCGUAAAGAGCGUGUAGGCGGCCAAGCAGGUCCGCUGUGAAAACUCGAGGCUCAACCUCGAGACGUCGGUGGAAACCGUUUGGCUAGAGUCCGGAAGAGGAGAGUGGAAUUCCUGGUGUAGCGGUGAAAUGCGCAGAUAUCAGGAGGAACACCAAUUGCGAAGGCAGCUCGCUGGGACGUGACUGACGCUGAGACGCGAAAGCGUGGGGAGCAAACAGG